rnacentral:rRNA from 1 species
UAGGGAAUCUUCCACAAUGGGCGCAAGCCUGAUGGAGCAACACCGCGUGAGUGAAGAAGGGUUUCGGCUCGUAAAGCUCUGUUGUUAAAGAAGAACACGUAUGAGAGUAACUGUUCAUACGUUGACGGUAUUUAACCAAGAAGUCACGGCUAACUACGUGCCAA